AUGAACGCUGGCGGCGUGCCUAAUACAUGCAAGUCGAGCGAACAGAUAAGGAGCUUGCUCCUUUGACGUUAGCGGCGGACGGGUGAGUAACACGUGGGUAACCUACCUAUAAGACUGGGAUAACUUCGGGAAACCGGAGCUAAUACCGGAUAACAUUUGGAACCGCAUGGUUCUAAAGUGAAAGAUGGUUUUGCUAUCACUUAUAGAUGGACCCGCGCCGUAUUAGCUAGUUGGUAAGGUAACGGCUUACCAAGGCGACGAUACGUAGCCGACCUGAGAGGGAGAUCGGCCACACUGGAACUGAGACACGGUCCAGACUCCUACGGGAGGCAGCAGUAGGGAAUCUUCCGCAAUGGGCGAAAGCCUGACGGAGCAACGCCGCGUGAGUGAUGAAGGGUUUCGGCUCGUAAAACUCUGUUAUUAGGGAAGAACAAAUGUGUAAGUAACUGUGCACGUCUUGACGGUACCUAAUCAGAAAGCCACGGCUAACUACGUG
rnacentral:rRNA from 1 species